GUUGUCAAUUAAUCUCUUAUACAUAAGCUGUCGAAUGAUUUAGUAAAAACCAGUGAGAACAGAUAUGGGCCGAUAAUUCUUAAAUUCAUUGUUUUCGUUUGCUUUGAAAAUAGGGGUAACAUGCAAUAGAGCUAUUUUUAAAUCAUCAGGAUACAGUAGGGCAAAGUGGUAUUAUGACAUUUUAGGUCAUCAUGAUCGUUCUCAUCAUAAUAUUCUUCUUCAGAAUCAGAGACAUGGACAUCGUCAAAAUCUUCCUUUCUUUCUUUGGCAACGCAACUGGGAGCAGUAUAGGAUUUAAUUGUAGAUGGAAAUUUUGAGUGUGAAUUCUAUAGAUUUAUUACAAAAACAGACCCGUAUAAUUAACCAAAACAAUUGAUUUUUAAAAUUAUAGAUCAAAUGUCUUACCAACAACAAUAUAUUCGCAUUCAGCGGCUUAGAUAGAGGUCCAGAAAGAAAAGUCAAGUUGAACAUGUAUGAAAGUCGUUCAGAAAUUUCUGUAGCAAUCGCUUUGAUUACCUGUGAGCUUAUACCAUCAUAUCCAGGGUUUUUUUGGACUUCAAAUUAUUUAUCUCAUUUUCUAAUUCAUCUUUAUUUAUUGGAUUAAUAAUGAAGCUUUCUUUACAGCUAUUAGUGAGAUUUUUUUCAAAAUUUGUUUUGCUAUUGGAAAGUUUUUUCGCAAGUCCUGGACCAAUAUUUACAAAAUAAUCAUUGAAUCUAUUUGCUAUUGAUUUUGGAUCAGUAAUUUUUUCUCCAAGACUAUUCCAAUAAAUUUCUUUGGUAACAUACUGCUUGUUUUAUUUCGACUCAUAAUUUCAUUUAAUGUUUUGCAACGUACCUUUGUAUCAUGUUCAUAUUUUAUCAAAUGUUUUUCGUAAUGUUUCUUUUUUGCCGCUCUUAUUAUAUGAUUUAGUUUAUUUUUAUAUUGUUUGUAUAUUUUUCCUUUUUUUGUCGGGCAUUGAAGGUAUUUUUAUAUAACUUGUUCUUUUGCUUAACUGAUUUUGCAGUACAUUUUGUCAUCGAUGGGCUUCGGGUUUUGUCAAUAUUUCUUACUCCUGCUAUGUAAAUUUCAAUUCAUUAUCAUUAUUAGUUUCUUUACAAAUCGAUUGUUUUUACAGAUCAUUAUCUCGCAAAAAUUAACAUAGCAAGAGUAAAUGGUCAGGCUGGAUUCGCUACUGCUUUUUACUACUUUUCUUCUUAAUGGAAAUUUUUUUUCAUAAGCUAUUUUGAAAGUAAGUUAAAGAAUUCAUUGUACAUUAUCUCAUGAUAGAAAGUACAUUAUCCCAUGAAUCAUUUUUUAUUGUGUUUCGAAACGAUUGAAUAUUGGGAUCAUUGAAAAUCCUUUUACAAGUAAAUUCAUUUCUUUGAAUUUUUUCGUGAUAUGUUUUUGAAUUUCGUACAUAAAAUAUCGGCAAAUGAUCCGACAUAUCGCUAAAAAUU